UGUAUUUAUUAGAUAAAAAACCAAUGCCCUUCGGGGCUUUUUGGUGAUUCAUGAUAACUUUACGGAUCGCAUAGCCUUGCGCUGGCGACGGUUCAUUCAAAUUUCUGCCCUAUCAACUUUCGAUGGUAAGGUAUUGGCUUACCAUGGUUUCAACGGGUAACGGGGAAUUAGGGUUCGAUUCCGGAGAGGGAGCCUGAGAAACGGCUACCACAUCCAAGGAAGGCAGCAGGCGCGCAAAUUACCCAAUCCCGACACGGGGAGGUAGUGACAAUAAAUACUGAUACAGGGCUCUUUUGGGUCUUGUAAUUGGAAUGAGUACAAUUUAAACCUCUUAACGAGGAACAAUUGGAGGGCAAGUCUGGUGCCAGCAGCCGCGGUAAUUCCAGCUCCAAUAGCGUAUAUUAAAGUUGUUGCAGUUAAAAAGCUCGUAGUUGAAACUUGGGCCUGGCUGGCGGGUCCGCCUCACCGCGUGCACUCGUCCGGCCGGGCCUUCCUUCUGAAAAACCUCAUGCCCUUCUCUGGGCGUGUUGGGGAACCAGG
rnacentral:rRNA from 1 species